GUCUACGGGCAUCCACCCUGAAGGGGCCCGAUCUUGUCUGAUCUCAGAAGCUAAGCAGGGUCGGGCCUGGUUAGUACUCGGAUGGGAGAAAUCAUCUUCAUAGAUG
ensembl:rRNA 5S_rRNA 5S ribosomal RNA